rnacentral:tRNA from 5 species
GCCGGCAUGUCGGAAUGGCAGACGAGGCGGACUCAAAAUCCGUUGAUGGCAACAUCGUGUGGGUUCAAGUCCCACUGCCGGCACUA